GCAAGAAGGACCCACCUGUAUCCAUCCCGAACACAGCAGUUAAGCUUCUUAGCGCCGAAUGUAGUUGGGGGUUGCCCCCCCGUGAGACUAGGACGUUGCCGUGC
rnacentral:rRNA from 1 species